AUGAUACUCCCUCCGUCCGAAAAAGCUUGUCCCUCAAAUGGAUGUAUCUAGUACCAAGUUAGUAUAGAUACAUCCAUUUGAGGGACAAGCUUUUUCGGACGGAGGGAGUACUCA
rfam:Triticum aestivum genome assembly, contig: Triticum_aestivum_CS42_TGACv1_scaffold_221537_3B